UCCUGGAGCAAACUUUUUUUCCUGUUACGGCAAAGGUAGCUGGUCAGGUGAGAGUGGGGUUUUACCUGAACCCCGUCUCUUCACCCCCCCAACCACACACACACAUAUAAACAUACCAAACAGUGCUUUCAGGGAGAUUAAGGAACAAACAGCCGCCUGUUUUAUGUGGAAAACACCUGGAACUUGCUGAGGGAGGAUCCGGUUCGGAUGAAAAGGAAAGGGUCAGGUGGAAACAGGAGGGAAUCCGGCUCCUUGUCUAUCCUCAUCGCCGCCUGCCCAGCGCUUACACCAUGCCCAGAGCUUUCCUGGUCAAAAGAAAAGAGCCUUACCCGGAGGUCCGAGACUGGAAUGAGCUGCCAGACGAAGAGAGAGCCGACACCUACAUACCAGUCAAUUUGAACUGCUUUCUAAGUUACGAAGAAGAAAGAAAGACCCAGGAUCCACCACCCGGAACAACUGGUUUGGACAAACUGCUGAACGAUUCGAGCGAGCCCCGCCUCCCCUACAAGACCGAACCGGACCAGGAGAAUGCAGAGGAGCAAGUUCUGGGACCGGAAUGCAAAAAGCGCAGCGUCUUGCGAACGAAAAUCAAGAUCACCUCCGGGGAGUGCAGCGACGCCACCUUCCGCUGCCAGGUGUGCAGUAAGGGCUUCCGGCUACAGCGCAUGCUCAACCGGCACCUGAAGUGUCACAGCCAGGUGAAACGUCACCUGUGUACGUACUGCGGCAAAGGCUUCAAUGACACCUUCGACCUGAAGAGGCACGUCAGGACGCACACCGGAAUUCGCCCUUAUAAAUGCAGCCUUUGUCAUAAAGCCUUUACACAGAGAUGCUCCUUGGAAUCACACCUCAAGAAGAUCCACGGAGUGACACAGAAGUACAGCUACAAGGAAAGAAGGGCAAAGCUCUAUGUCUGUGAAGAAUGUGGGUUCACAGCCAUCAACCAAGAGGACCUCUACCUUCACAUGAAGCAGAAUCACCCAGAAAACCCACUACUUAAAAAGACUUCAAAGAAAAUAGCUGCAGCUCUGCAGAACAAACUCAGCUCGGUGCUACACAACAGUGACAAAAAUAAGGAUUCUGAAUAGGAGCAAAAGAAGAGGCAGUGGUGUCGAUGGUGAAGUUUUGAUACUUGCACUGCGGGUUAAAUAAAACAUAUGGAGGUAAAGUUAGAGAUCCCCAAGGGAAAAACGAAAAGCUCCAUGAAAACAAAGAGCAGAAAGUGAAGGAAAACAAGCAUCACCAACAUCAACAUUAGGGUCCUGCAAGAAACAUUCAAAUAGCCAGAAAUAAAUUUAAUCCAGGUCUACAGAAUCAGGAAAGCCACAACUUAGUAUGGCUGAAAAUGGCCACAUUUAAAGAAAUAUAGUGAGGAAAAACUAGCAGAAGAAGAAAUCAGAAAAAAGAUGUAAAAGGAUUGGAACUCCAAUAAAAUCAUGACUCUAUAAUGUUGGCAGCCGUAGAAUUUUAUCUAAACAUUCCUGUAUAGGAAAGUGUUGGUGUUGUUGUGUAGAAAGAUAAGAAAACAUUUAUUUUCCAAGGAAGAAGCAGGAAACUCCAUCGUGGCUGUCGAAGGCAGAAUCACCCUAGAAUGAAUGGAUAGCCACUAUUUUGUUCGUUAAAACUUGGAAAAGAGCAGGGAAAUUCAGUAAGCAGUGCAAAGAUGCAAGGAAGCAAAUCAAGAAGCUUGGACACAAUAACUUAGAAUGGAACAGUAAGAUUAUCAUAGAAUCCCUACAGUGCAGGAAACAGGCCCUUUGGCCCAACAAGUCCACACUGAACC